UCACUGCAUCUUGUAAGUCGUUAUGCCUUCCUCUCAUGCACACACUUUUUAUUUGUUUAUUUUUUUUAAUCUAUGUAUCUCUAUCUGUGUACGUAAUUUAACAAAUGGUAUUGAUGCUCACCAACAGGGCAAUUGAUGGAAGUUGAAGCCAGGGAGGUGGCCUUGAAUACUCAAUCUUCCACCGGUGCUGGCAACAGUGGCACAAUAGGAGAAACGUUUUAUCAGACAGAGCAAGCUUGUGUGACAGACUCGGAUUGCUUUUACUGGCAUUGCAUUCCUGAGAGUGGCCAUGUAAAAUGCAUUGAUCACCUUUGUGUUUGCAGAAAAUAAGGCGUUGGUUAUUACAAGAGGAGUAAAUGUAAAAAUAUCAAUGAACCGGG
rnacentral:lncRNA from 1 species